rnacentral:rRNA from 1 species
CAAGUCGUGGGGCAGCAAGGGUAGCAAUACCUGUUGGCGACCGGCAAACGGGUGAGGAACAUGUACGCAACCUUCCUUUAACUGGAGAAUAGCCCCUCGAAAGAGGGAUUAAUACUCCGUAACAUGAUGAAGUGGCAUCACUUUAUUAUUAUAGCUCCGGCGGUUAAAGAUGGGCGUGCACCUGAUUAGAUAGUUGGCGGGGUAAUGGCCCACCAAGUCUACGAUCAGUAACUGGUGUGAGAGCACGACCAGUCACACGGGCACUGAGACACGGGUCCGACUCCUACGGGAGGCAGCAGUAAGGAAUAUUGGUCAAUGGACGCAAGUCUGAACCAGCCAUGCCGCGUGGAGGAUUAAGGCCCUCUGGGUUGUAAACUCCUUUUAUCUGGGAAGAAAUGUACUUUUUCUUGAGUACUUGACGGUACCAGAGGAAUAAGCACCGGCUAACUCCGUGCCAGCAGCCGCGGUAAUACGGAGGGUGCAAGCGUUAUCCGGAUUCACUGGGUUUAAAGGGUGCGUAGGUGGGCAGGUAAGUCAGUGGUGAAAUCUCCGAGCUUAACUCGGAAACUGCCGUUGAUACUAUUUGUCUUGAAUAUUGUGGAGGUAAGCGGAAUAUGUCAUGUAGCGGUGAAAUGCUUAGAUAUGACAUAGAACACCAAUUGCGAAGGCAGCUUACUACACAACGAUUGACGCUGAGGCACGAAAGCGUGGGGAUCAAACAGGAUUAGAUACCCUGGUAGUCCACGCCCUAAACGAUGAUUACUCGACGUGUGCGAUACACUGUACGCGUCUGAGCGAAGGCAUUAAGUAAUCCACCUGGGAAGUACGUUCGCAAGAAUGAAACUCAAAGGAAUUGACGGGGGUCCGCACA